ACAUCUUUAGCUGAAUAGGUACAGCAAUUGCCUUCGAAGCAAAUGUUUAUUGGUUCGAAUCCAAUAAGAUGUU
rnacentral:tRNA from 1 species